UACGAAGGGGACUAGCGUUGUUCGGAAUUACUGGGCGUAAAGCGCACGUAGGCGGAUUUGUUAGUCAGGGGUGAAAUCCCGGGGCUCAACCUCGGAACUGCCUUUGAUACUGCAAAUCUCGAGUCCGAUAGAGGUGGGUGGAAUUCCUAGUGUAGAGGUGAAAUGUGUAGAGAUCGGGAGGAACACCGGUGGCGAAGGCGGGUCUCUGGGCAAUUCCUGACGCUGAGGCGCGAAAGCGUGGGGAGCGGACAGG
rnacentral:rRNA from 1 species